UGCAGUGUAGCAUAGUGGUAAGGAGCAAGGCUUGUAACCGAAAGGUUGCGGGUUCGAUUCCCUGCUGGGGCAC
rnacentral:tRNA from 1 species